CCUACGGGGGGCAGCAGUGAGGAAUAUUGGUCAAUGGACGAGAGUCUGAACCAGCCAAGUAGCGUGAAGGAUGACUGCCCUAUGGGUUGUAAACUUCUUCUAUAUGGGAAUAAAACGUUCCACGUGUGGGAUUUUGUAUGUACCAUAUGAAUAAGGAUCGGCUAACUCCGUGCCAGCAGCCGCGGUAAUACGGAGGAUCCGAGCGUUAUCCGGAUUUAUUGGGUUUAAAGGGAGCGUAGGUGGAUUGUUAAGUCAGUUGUGAAAGUUUGCGGCUCAACCGUAAAAUUGCAGUUGAAACUGGCAGUCUUGAGUACAGUAGAGGUGGGCGGAAUUCGUGGUGUAGCGGUGAAAUGCUUAGAUAUCACGAAGAACUCCGAUUGCGAAGGCAGUUCACUGGACUGCAACUGACACUGAGGCUCGAAAGUGUGGGUAUCAAACAGGAUUAGAUACCCCAGUAGUC
rnacentral:rRNA from 1 species